rnacentral:pre_miRNA from 1 species
UGAGGUAGUAGGUUGUAUAGUUUUUUGGGUGCAAUCCCAAACGGGUAACUGUACAAUCUACUGUCUUUC